GUCAAUGGUGCAAUGGUGAACACGGUUGCUUUAUGAACAGCAUGACCGGAGUUCUAUCCCCGGCAUUGACA